rnacentral:rRNA from 1 species
UCUCUCGGUACGUCAUAAUCGUCCCGAUCGAAAGGAGUUUACAUCCCAAGGGACUUCAUCCUCCACGCGGCGUUGCUGCGUCAGGGUUUCCCCCAUUGCGCAAAAUUCUACGGGAGGCAGCAGUGGGGAAUUUUGGGCAAUGGGGGAAACCCUGACGCAGCAACGCCGCGUGG